UACGUAGGGGGCAAGCGUUGUCCGGAAUCAUUGGGCGUAAAGCGCGUGUAGGCGGCCCGAUAAGUCCGCUGUGAAAGUCCAGGGCUCAACCCUGGGAUGCCGGUGGAUACUGUCGGGCUCGAGUCCGGAAGAGGUGAGUGGAAUUCCUGGUGUAGCGGUGAAAUGCGCAGAUAUCAGGAGGAACACCAAUGGCGAAGGCAGCUCACUGGGACGGUAUUGACGCUGAGACGCGAAAGCGUGGGGAGCAAACAGG
rnacentral:rRNA from 1 species